CAGCGAAAUGAGGCUAAGGAGGAAGCCUGGGGCUAGCCCCUGUGCGCCAGACUAGACAUUUUGGCUUCAUCCCAAGAGCAGUGGGAAGCAACAGAACAUUUGACUAGGCCCCUUGACCCUGUAUUUUGAAAAGACCUUUGCUGUAGUAUGGCUGACAGACAGGGCGAAGGGUCAAAUGAGGGGCCGGGUUCCCGGGCUGUGUAGCUGCUUAGAGAGGGAGCAGCAUCAGGGUGGUGGUGGUGGAGGAGUUCCAGGCACGUGACUGGCUUUGCAAGGUCCUGAGGUCAUGUGUUCAGUGGGUACACUCAGGAGUCUGCCCGAGGGAGCCUCAGGGCCUUGCUGGACUUUGCCUCCCGUGGCCAUCUGCCUUACUGGGAAAACAACCUAAAGGCAGAAGCUUCUUUGGGCCUCAGUUGCUGGUGCAGGAUCACCGGAGGCAGGACCGCACGUUCUGUAACAUCAUCCUGGUGAGUUCAGGAUGACGAAGACCGGCGUGGACUGCCUGGAUUCUCUCUGACCUUGGGCUCUGCCUGAAGCCCCAGAACAGACUUCUGCUCAGGAUUGGAUCCUAUCCCUGUGUUUGCCUGAACCUGUUGUUGAGAAGGUAGGAGGAGGGAAACCGGUAAAGCACUAAGUGUCUUCUGCCAUGUGCUGCCCAAGGAGAUUGAGAGAAAAACAGAAAAACAACCUGCUCCAGCCCAGCCCCAGAGCUAGACUUGUCAUUUGGGCGCGUGAAAAAAAAAACCAACUCCCAACCCCACCCAGGAGGUUCUCAGAGUUCCAGGGUUUCACUAUGUAACCUUGCCUGUCCGGGGACUCACUCUGUAGACCAGACUGGCACUCACAAAGAUCCAACUGCCUUUGCCAGGAUUAAAGGUACAUUAAGGUACCCCGUCCCUGGUGCUGAUGAAUGUGGCCGUAUUUGGAAAAGAGUUUCAACCCAUGUGAUCAAAGUCAAAAGAGGACUGGUUUUGCCAGCACGUUGGAUUCUGGGCUUGUCAUCGUCAGAACGGCAACACAGUGAACGUCUGUUGUUUAAAACCAUUUAGCUGUGGUCUUUUGUCCUGGAUGAAGAAUCCACUCUUUUGGUAACAUUUGGUUGCUUCCAGUUGUUGAGUUGUGAUCACGACACCUGCUACCAUUUUUCUGCCCCGCACGGGCUGUCUGGAACAGCAGCCUGAGGAACUUGCUCUUUUCUCCAGGGAGCUUUUGGAGCAAUCAUGGACCAAAGCCUGAAGGCUUUAGCCUUGGUAUAACCUUGGCUGUGUUGCCAGCUAACACCCGGGACACCUGUGUCCUAUUUGGGGACAUACCCUCAACUAAAAAAAGUGUUUGUUGCACAGUUGAAAUGCAAAUUUCACGGGACUUCUGGAUUUUUAUUUGCUAAAUCUGGCAUCUGUAAAGCUCUGCCCUGGGCAACUCACGCUGUGCAGAAGGAGCCCUGGGACCUUCCUUGCAUUAGGCUCUUUGUUUCCUGACUGCAGAGACUUGGGGAAGAGUCCUGGCUCCUCCUCUCUCCACUAGUACCCUGACAGUGUACAGUGGCACCAGCCUCCCCAGGACUUAGCCCAUGUCAAGAGUACCCUACCUACUCCCUGCUCCUCACCCCUGCAUGGGCAAUUCUUUUCUGACUACUCCCGGCCUGACCUCUCUCCCCUCCACUGGCCUUGCAAAGGUGGGCUUGCUUUGCCCACAGGACAGAGCUAGAUCAUGGUGCCUAGGUGUGUGAUGAGAGCCUGGGAGAGGAGGGCAGUGCUUCCCAGUCUUGCCUCGCUUCAAGAUUUGCCUGAGGGCUAGAGAUGCUACUCUCUGGGACUGAGAGUUAGCUCAGUGGUUAAGAGUCCUUGUUGUUGUGAAGGACCCAGGUUCCCUCCUCUGGUAUUCUUGUGAUGUACAGUUGUACACAGAGGCAAAACACUCGUACAUGUAAAGUAAAAAAAUAAUAAAAAUAAAUUAAUUAAUUAAAAAAUUAGAUACUACUACCCCACUCCCCACUGGGGUAGUGACUUCCACAUAUAAUCCCUGCACUGCACUAGGGAUUCUUGGGAUGCUGAGGUAGAUGAAUGGGAAUGAGCUUCAAGUCCAGUCUGGAUUACAUAGCUCCCCUGGAGCUCCAAAGUGAGACCCCGCCUCAGAAAAGCAGAAAAACAAAAACCAAAACAAUGGAAACAAAAACAAAGCAAAACAACAACAAUGACCAAAAAAACCAAGGGAGGAGGGAAAAAAAGCAUCUUCUGUUUGGCAUCAGACAUCUCCAGGGGAGGAGUCAUUGUCUGUGAAGACCCCUGCCCUCGUCUGCAAGGAAGUGUGCUCCAACUGAGUUCUGCAGCUUCCGUGGGAACCCGGCAGAAGAGAUUUUUAAAGAGAGGAGAGGGAGAUCAAGGAGAGGAGCGAGGACAAGAGGCCAAGAGCCAAAGAGGAAGGGAGAGCCUGCUGGAGUUGAGCUGGAAUGCAGAAAGCUCGGAGAAGAAAGGCCUGGACAGGCUGGGGAAAGCCGAGGCCACAUCUGCUUGGGACUUGCUGGCUGAUUUAAAAUGCAGCCUAAAAAGCAACAAGAAUGGCCUUGGAGCAAGGGACCCACUGAGUCCUUUUCAAAGGUGAGCCUGGGCUUGCCUCUUUUCUGUGACACUUGGCUUCUGCAAUGUCACACUGCUCCCCAUUCAGUGCCCCAACCCCCUAAUCUGGCGAAAAGCCAGGUAUACAGACAGAUCCAGCAGGGCCUUUGUGUGAAGGGUGGUGAGCGGUGGACCUUUAAUGCUCUGUGUGGUGCAGGGAGGGGACCACGCUUGCGAGGAGUAGGUGCAGGCAUUCCGGGCGGAGCUAGAACGUUUCCAUAUUAGACAAGUAACUCCAGCGAAUAUUGUUUUUGUUAUCGAGACGAUGCUAUAAAUGUUAGAGCAUGUGGUAGGCAUACCGCACGUCCUCCUGUGAGCUCCCUCGAGUGUGGGCUGGACCUAGUGACUUGCUUCCUAAUGAAUAAAACAUGGCAGAAAUGAGAGAUGUCCUUUUCGAGAUUAGACCCUGGAAAACUGGGACUCUCUUCUUGCUCUUAGUCACCCCCCCCCCAGCCUUCUCCUCUAUGUGCUGUGAUCAAGCCAGCUGCCGUGUGAGGGUCACCCACGGAGAGGCCAGUGUGCCAAAGAUCGGAGGUGGUGAGAAAAUGGAGGCCCUCCGUCCCACGUCCCACGAGGAGCUGGAUCGUGCCAACGACCGCGUGUGAGAUCUUGGAGGUGGAUCUUUCCAUGGUGGAACUGAGGGACACCGUGACUGCACUUGCAGAUGCCACACCUAUGUUGUCACCCGGGGCACCUAGUCGCUGAGAUGGCUGAAGUGCUCGUUUAGGACUCUAGCUUUUGGGGGGACUUAAUUACAUAGCAGUAGGCAACUAACUAACGCAAGUGUGAAUUGGGAAAGGCCAGCCAUACCUGUUCUAUUCUCCCAUAUAAAUAUCCUUUUCUUAAAAAAAGAAAGAAAGAAAGAAAGAAAGAAAAAGAAAAAACACAUAUUGUGUCUGUUGUGGAUGCCAGAGGGCAAGCAUUGUCUUCAGGAAUGCUGUCUUGUGCUCAGAAGGUAAGAAGAUGGACAUUCACUUCCAGACAAUCCAGCAAGUACCAGCUGUGUACCUCUGAAGAGGCAAUGGUGACCAAGACAGGACUAUUUCUGCCCUUCUCCGUUAGACAGCUAAGUGCAUCAUUGCAACCCAGCGCCUUGUGGAGACCCUGCCGCUGAUCCAUGACAAUGCGGGUACCCUGGCUCCUCCCCAGCUCUGGGGCAGAGGCACCGGAUGGCGAACCCUCAUAAGGUUUUAGAAGGAAAUAAGGCCGUUUCUGAGCUUCUUCCAGCGUAAGCCAGGCUUUGGCCACGACACCCACAUUUUCUCGCAACUUUGAUGUUUUCUGAUCUUGAUUCGCUCAUCCUGAGGAAUUCUUUUGCUUCCAUCCUUCCGUCACGCUCCACCCGCUUCCCUGAAGAAAUGGAAACCAGAUUGCGUGGCUUAGGCAGGAAAACACUGGCACACUCUUGCAGACCAUGGAUGUGUGUCUCUGUUCUCUCACCCCUGCCCUGCUGGGAACCUUCAGCUGCCCAGGCCAGAAGUGACGGGUGAGGGGCGAGGGCUGAACAGAGGCCUUUCAAGGGCCACAGUGGGGAGGUCACUGAGCUUGUCAGACCGUGUUUCUAGUUCAGCAAAGUACACACUCACCUGACCUCAGUGGUGACAUGGUGGGCAUAUGAAAAGCGUUCACUGCCCUGAAGAGGACCCAGGAAGCUGCCAGAAAAAAAGAAACUGAAAGGCAAUUACAAUGAAGUUGUUUAAUGUGGGUCAGACACUUGUACUGCAGGGGUGAAGGUGUGACCAGAACACUGACUACUUGCCCCCCUUUUUCUUUUCUUUUCAUUUUGGUUUUUCGAGACAGAAUUUCCCUGUAUCUGUGGAGCCUGUCCUGGAACUUGCUUUGUAGACCAGGCUGGUCUCGAACUCACAGAGAUCUGCCUGUCUCUACCCCCCGACUGCUGGGAUUAAAGGAGUGCACCACUAUGGGCCCUGCUUGACUUGGUCUUCCUGUUCACAACAGUUUG